GAAUUUUAUAUAUAAUAUUUUUUUUAUUAGUUUAGAUUAGUAAGAGUAGUGUAUAUUUAAUUGGGAGGAUUGUUAAAUUAAUAGAACUUUAAUUAAUGUAAGAAUAUAGAUUAUUAAAAUUAAUUAAGAGGGAAAAUUUAAUUAAAUAAGAAUUAAUUACCUUAGGGAUAACAGCGUGAUAGUUUUGGAAAGAUCAUAUUUAUAAAAUUGAUUGC
rnacentral:rRNA from 1 species